rnacentral:rRNA from 1 species
GGAAACCCUGAUCCAGCAAUGCCGCGUGUGUGAAGAAGGCCUUCGGGUUGUAAAGCGCUUUUGUCAGGAACGAAACGGUGGGGGCUAAUAUCCUCUACUAAUGACGGUACCUGAAGAAUAAGCACCGGCUAACUACGUGCCAGCAGCCGCGGUAAUACGUAGGGUGCAAGCGUUAAUCGGAAUUACUGGGCGUAAAGCGUGCGCAGGCGGUUGUGCAAGACAGAUGUGAAAUCCCCGGGCUCAACCUGGGAAUUGCAUUUGUGACUGCACGGCUAGAGUGUGUCAGAGGGGGGUAGAAUUCCA